UACGUAGGGGGCGAGCGUUGUCCGGAAUUAUUGGGCGUAAAGAGCACGUAGGCGGCCAGUCAAGUCAGGUGUGAAAUCCUUGGGCUCAACCCGAGAACUGCACUUGAGACUGAUUGGCUUGAGUUCGGAAGAGGAGAGUGGAAUUCCUGGUGUAGCGGUGAAAUGCGCAGAUACCAGGAGGAACACCAGUGGCGAAGGCGGCUCUCUGGUCCGUAACUGACGCUGAGGUGCGAAAGCUAGGGGAGCAAACAGGAUUAGAUACCCUGGUAGUCCUAGCUGUAAACGAUGGGCACUAGGUAUAGGGAGUUAUCGACUCUCUCUGUGCCGAAGUUAACACAUUAAGUGCCCCGCCUGGGGAGUACGGCCGCAAGGCUAAAACUC
rnacentral:rRNA from 1 species